AUUGAACGCUGGCGGCAGGCCUAACACAUGCAAGUCGAGCGGAUGAAGGGAGCUUGCUCCUGGAUUCAGCGGCGGACGGGUGAGUAAUGCCUAGGAAUCUGCCUGGUAGUGGGGGAUAACGUCCGGAAACGGGCGCUAAUACCGCAUACGUCCUGAGGGAGAAAGUGGGGGAUCUUCGGACCUCACGCUAUCAGAUGAGCCUAGGUCGGAUUAGCUAGUUGGUGGGGUAAAGGCCUACCAAGGCGACGAUCCGUAACUGGUCUGAGAGGAUGAUCAGUCACACGGGAACUGAGACACGGUCCAGACUCCUACGGGAGGCAGCAGUGGGGAAUUUUGGACAAUGGGCGAAAGCCUGAUCCAGCCAUGCCGGGUGUGUGAAGAAGGUCUUCGGAUUUUAAAGCACUUUAAGUUGGGAGGAAGGGCAGUAAGUUAAUACCUUGCUGUUUUGACGUUACCAACAGAAUAAGCACCGGCUAACUUCGU
rnacentral:rRNA from 1 species